CCAAUCGGUUAACAAAGAAUGUGGCGAAAAACAACAGAGCUAUAUUGCAAGAUGGGGUUUAUGUCAGCACUGACAGUGAACCCAUUUUGCCCAGAAUUCUUCUUGCGUCAUGAAUUAUCUCACGCGUUGGCAGGGGGAAUGGUGUCUCUGGUUCGGAAACAUUAUACAACCUAUGGUUUGAACCAAUGUUUUGGUACACAAGGUAAUUUGUAUCUAGAAUGGGGUCAGUUUCUUUGAGCUACAUUUUCAUUUCAGAUAAUGCACAUGGGUUCCGUUGAAUUAAUGAGGGGAUGCCAAAUUGCCUGAGUUUGGUUGAGGCUUUUCCAAAAUGGGUCGAAAAUUUACGGCAGUGGAACACAUUUCGUGAACAGGUUAAUUGAUAAAAUAGAAUGCAUGUUUCACAUUUUAUCUGAGACACUAUUGCUCCUGCCAUCCACAAUCUGCAGGAUUGGUAGCAAGUAUGAAAUUAUAUGGUUAAAAU